rnacentral:misc_RNA from 1 species
AGAAACAGCAGUACCUUCGGCCGACUCUCUUGGUGUCGGGCGGCGGGGCCAAUGAAGAGGAGGAGGCGGCGGAAGCCGCCUUGGGCAUCUCCGCCCCCGCUGACGGUGGCCGGAGGCAGCAGGACACCAGGUACGUGGACAUCUUUCUUCAACUUGUUCUUAUUGAAGAGGGAGGUCUGGCCGAGCUUGCCUUCCCUGGAGAGAGAAUAAAGGAGGAGGAGGAGGAGGAAGAAGAAGGAAUGGAUGGAUGGAUGGAUAGGAAGUGGCCAUAUGGGCCAAACCAAACCAAAUCAAUUGGUGGGUUUGUAUCGUGCCAGCGGCCC